ensembl:miRNA
UGUAGGUGUGUGUCUGUUGCUGGAUGCGCUUGAUGGUCGCUCCCUUUGGGCCCACCACUAGCCCGACCACACGGUAAGGAACCCGUACUUG